UGGGGAAUAUUGCACAAUGGGCGCAAGCCUGAUGCAGCCAUGCCGCGUGUGUGAAGAAGGCCUUCGGGUUGUAAAGCACUUUCAGCGGGGAGGAAGGCGGUGAGGUUAAUAACCUCAUCGAUUGACGUUACCCGCAGAAGAAGCACCGGCUAACUCCGUGCCAGCAGCCGCGGUAAUACGGAGGGUGCAAGCGUUAAUCGGAAUUACUGGGCGUAAAGCGCACGCAGGCGGUCUGUCAAGUCGGAUGUGAAAUCCCCGGGCUCAACCUGGGAACUGCAUUCGAAACUGGCAGGCUAGAGUCUUGUAGAGGGGGGUAGAAUUCCAGGUGUAGCGGUGAAAUGCGUAGAGAUCGGGAGGAAUACCGGUGGCGAAGGCGGCCCCCUGGACAAAGACUGACGCUCAGGUGCGAAAGCGUGGGGAGCAAACAGG
rnacentral:rRNA from 1 species